CUUUACUGUAACCUGGUAUUGGGUUCGGGCUUUGACUGCGCAGGAUAGGUGGGAGACUAUGAAGCAAUCCUUGUGGGGAUUGUGGAGUCAACAGUGAGAUACCACUCUGUCAGAGCUAGAAUUCUAACCUUCACCCGUUAUCCGGGGAAGGAACCGUAUCAGGCGGGCAGUUUGACUGGGGCGGUCGCCUCCUAAAUGGUAACGGAGGCGCGCAAAGGUGUUCUCAGGCUGGUUGGAAAUCAGCCGCAGAGUGCAAAGGCAGAAGAACGCUUGACUGUGAGAGUGACAACUCGAGCAGGGUGGAAACACGGCCUUAGUGAUCCGACGGCUUGUGCGUGGAAAUGCCGUCGCUCAACGGAUAAAAGUUA
rnacentral:rRNA from 1 species